rnacentral:rRNA from 1 species
GACGAACGCUGGCGGCGUGCUUAACACAUGCAAGUCGAGCGGAAAGGCACUGCUUUUGUGGGGUGCUCGGGUGGCGAACGGGUGCGUAACACGAGAGUAACCUGCCCUAGACUUUGGGAUAACUUCAGGAAACUGAGGUUACUACCGUAUAGCAGCUGCUGCUGCGUGGUGGGCGUUGGAAAGUUUCGGCGGGUGGGGAUGGACUCGCGGCUUAUGAGCUUGUUGGUGGGGUAGUGGAUUACCAAGGCAUUGACCGGUAGCCGGCCUGGGAGGGGGGCCGGCGUCAUUGGUACUAAGGUACGGCCCAGACGCCUACGUGAGGCAGCAGGGGGGAAUAUUGCACAAUGGGCGGAAGCCUGAUGCAGCAACGCCGCGUGCGGGAUGACGGCCUUCGGGUUGUAAACCGCUUUCGCCUGUGACGAAGCGUUAGUGACGGUAAUGGGUAAAGAAGCACCGGCUAACUACGUG